CCAAGCCUUCUGGCGAUCUAGACAAAACAAGUCCACCGUGGGCUUUGAAAAACGCUUUCCUUGAUAAAAUUUAAGCGUUUUAUAAGAGGAUGCCGGGGAAGGUUUUCCGGUUUAUCCCGGAGGGCUUGUAGCUCAGUUGGUUAGAGCGCGCGCUUGAUAAGCGUGAGGUCGGAGGUUCAAGUCCUCCCAGGCCCACCAGUUUAUCCAUUACUUUCAUAAGUGCUUUUAAAAAAUAAGUACUUCUAAAAAGAUUGCUUCUAAAAAGCUUAUCAAAAUUGGCAGGCUUAUUGCUUUUGUGUGAGUAAUCCAAAGUUAAAGCAAAUUAAUGGCAAAAAAACAGUUCAAAUGCUAAAUACUAAGGAGUCAAAAUUCCUUGCAAAGUGAUUUUUACAGCGUCCAUUUGGUUGAUAUAAAUUCCAAAUGCUCAUAGACGUCAAUGCCUAUAUGAAACUAUCGGUUCAAUCAUAUCGCUUUGAGUUAUAUAGAUUUUGUAAUCCCUCUUUUGAUCGUUUUAAACGCUUUAUUCUGAUUUAGGGGCCGUAGCUCAGCUGGGAGAGCACCUGCUUUGCAAGCAGGGGGUCGUCGGUUCGAUCCCGUCCGGCUCCACCAUAAGGUCAUCAUCAUUGU
rnacentral:tRNA from 1 species